GAGCCAGUGGGGUGUAGUGGUUUGGGCGUUGGAUUACUACUCUGAAGAGCAGGGUUCAAAUUCCAGCUGGUCCA